rnacentral:rRNA from 1 species
GACGUAGGUGGCGAACGUUAUCCGGAAUUAUUGGGCGUAAAGGAUGCGUAGAUGGUGUAGUAAGUUAUCGGUGGCAAAUCGAGGCUCAACCUCGUGGAAGUCGGUAAUACUGCUAUGCUAGAGGAUAGGAGAGGUUAACGGAACUCCCUGUGGAGCGGUGAAAUGCGUAGAUAUAGGGAAGAACACCAAUCAGGCGAAGGCAGUUAAGUAUUCUAUUCCUGACAUUGAGGCAUGAAAGCGUGGGGAG